CGAAUCUUUUUUAGGUUGAAAUACACACAUCCUGGGAAGCAUGCCUAAAUCUCAUAUCUCAAACAAUAACAAUCAAUCCUAUGUCACGAAGAAAAUCCAUAAGAACAUAGCCCAAAUUAAUCCAAAAAACAGAAAGAAAACGGGAUCCCAUUCAGCUCCAAGCUUCUACAUCUCCCUCUUCUAUCUCUCCAGCAUCCCAUUCAAAUUCUCUCUCUUCUUCUUCUUUUUGACCCAUACCCAUACCCAUACCUCAGUUGUUCUCCUCAACCCCCAAUCUUGUCUUCAAGUCCCACAACCUCCACCUUUUCGAGCACUACAAAAAAAAACUCCAACGGCUACGGCAGUCUGCAAUGGCAUGGAUUUUCCGUCGCCAAUAGUCCCAUUUUGGUGACUGCAAUUGUCGGCGUCACACUAAUAGGAAGAAGCAAAACAGAUCUCUUCCCCCCCCCCCCCCCCCCCAAGAUUUACUUUCUACCCUUCUCUUCAUCUCGUCGACAACUAACCGAUUAUGUGGAGAAUCUCUCAUCACCUCCUUGAUGAUUGUAGCUUCUCUCGGAACAAUGCUUCCUCACUUUCAGAAAUGAACUUGGGAGUACUGGGACCAGUUGUUCUACAAUGAUUGCAUCAAGGAAGCAGAGACUUAUCAGGGCAGAAAUGGUCAUACAAGGUUGGGCUAAAAUGAGAAGCCAUGAAUCUCGGUUCUCCAACUUCCACCUCUAUCUGCACUGAAUUGGAGGAGGGUGUUUAUAGGGACACAAAAUCAACAGCCAUUGACUUGGUAUAAGGUAUGAAUUAAGAACUAGAAAUAUUGAGUACCAACUAAACAUUUUCAUUCUUGUUCCUUUAUUAUCAUAAAGGAAUUUUGGAUAACGGUGAUACUUGAACCCUCCUGCCAAUUCUGAUGCACCUGAAGAAGAUGAGCCUUUGGCUUUGGACAUGGGGAGCAUGCAUGGGGAAGGGUCAAGUAUGAUUCAAUGGGGAGAGCAUUGGAAGAUACUGGACUAUUCAUGCAAUGGUAAUUGGUGAUUUUUUAGCUAAUCCACUUGGAUAUGGGAAUCGUUACAAACUAAAUCUAUUAGCAUGCAAUCCACCAAUUCAAUAUAUUGUAAGGUUGUUCUUCAUGAAUAUUUGGGUUCAAGUUUCAUUGGGAUUUAUCCUGAUUGAGUGCUAGUAUAUAUGAACAUAUAUAUUCUCUUGAUUUCUUUUAUAAGCACAUACUUGUUUGAUUUCAUAAUCUCUUGGUCCUGUAUGUUCAAGAAGGGGUUUUGAUUCUGAGGUCGGAGACUGAGCUCAUUGUUGAUUUGGUGGGUGAUGUGGUGAAGGAUGAGGAGGGUUUCAGAGAGGGUUUGUGGGCAUAUUUGGGGACUGGGAGUGGGGCUAUUGCUAUUGGGAUUGGGAGGGUUUUGGGGACUGGUGUCAGAGUCAUUACAACUGAUUUGAGUCUCAUUGCGAUUUCGGUUGCGGGUUUUAAUGUGGAGAGGGAGGUAUGGUUUACAGGCUGGCCCAUGCAUUACAACUGACCCCUUGCUUGUGUUGGUAUACCUUUGGGUUGAGCAUGAAUUAAACGCAAUCAAUUUUUAAAGUUUCUAUAAGGUGCCAAGUAGUAACAUUGCUUUUAUAUUCAUCAGCAUGUAUUUGAGCCCUGGAGAGGCAGUAAUUGUUGCUCAAGAAGCUGUCAAUACAAUGGCUGCGAAGGGAUAUGAUAUGGGACAAGAUGCAUUAAUCAAGGCCAAAAGCUUUUGAGGAGUCCUACCAAGUAUCAGCUACUACAGUAGCCAAGGUUUACAGUUACUUCAUAAAACUAUAUUUUUCUCUUUACAGAGGGGAGAGUUAUCAAGGGGACACCUCCAUCGAUCUGAGCAAGCACCAUAUGCCCAUAAUGUAGUUGAGAUAGAGAAAAAAAAGGCUUUCCAAUCACCAAGUUUGUAUUUCAAUGUGUAUUUUGCAUAUCACACAUGAGCUUUUUGUAUUUUAGAAUUUUGAACAUUGCUCAGAUGUAUGACCUUCGUUUCUUUAAAGCUUAAUUAUCUUGUAAACUUUCAUAUAACCUUCAUUUCUUUUGUAACA